rnacentral:rRNA from 1 species
UACAGAGGUCUCAAGCGUUGUUCGGAUUCAUUGGGCGUAAAGGGUGUGUAGGUGGCGCGCUAAGUCGGGUGUGAAAUUUCGGAGCUUAACUCCGAAACUGCAUUCGAUACUGGCGUGCUUGAGGACUGGAGAGGAGACUGGAAUUCAUGGUGUAGCAGUGAAAUGCGCAGAUAUCUGGAGGAACACCGGUGGCGAAGGCGGCAUCCUGGACCGGCAUUGACGCUGAGGCGCGAAAGCCAGGGGAGCAAACGGG